CAGCGAGGAGAAGCUUGCUUCUCUGUCGGCGAGUGGCGAACGGGUGAGUAUAGCAUCGGAACGUGCCAAGUAGUGGGGGAUAACCAAACGAAAGUUUGGCUAAUACCGCGUAAGCUCCAAGGAGGAAAGUAGGGGACCUAAAUAAGGCCUUACGCUAUUUGAUCGGCCGAUGUCGGAUUAGCUAGUUGGUGGGGUAAUGGCUCACCAAGGCAAUGAUCCGUAGCGGGUCUGAGAGGACGAUCCGCCACACUGGGACUGAGACACGGCCCAGACUCCUACGGGAGGCAGCAGUGGGGAAUUUUGGACAAUGGGGGAAACCCUGAUCCAGCCAUGCCGCGUGUAUGAAGAAGGCCUUAGGGUUGUAAAGUACUUUUGUUAGGGAAGAAAAGCUAGUUUUUAAUAAAAAUUAGUGAUGACGGUACCUAAAGAAUAAGCACCGGCUAACUACGUGCCAGCAGCCGCGGUAAUACGUAGGGUGCAAGCGUUAAUCGGAAUUAUUGGGCGUAAAGCGAGUGCAGACGGUUACUUAAGCCAGAUGUGAAAUCCCCAAGCUUAACUUGGGACGUGCAUUUGGAACUGGGUGACUAGAGUGUGUCAGAGGGAGGUAGAAUUCCACAUGUAGCGGUGGAAUGCGUAGAGAUGUGGAGGAAUACCGAUGGCGAAGGCAGCCUCCUGGGAUAACA
rnacentral:rRNA from 1 species